GAUGAACGCUGGCGGCGUGCCUAAUACAUGCAAGUCGAGCGAAUGGAUUAAGAGCUUGCUCUUAUGAAGUUAGCGGCGGACGGGUGAGUAACACGUGGGUAACCUGCCCAUAAGACUGGGAUAACUCCGGGAAACCGGGGCUAAUACCGGAUAACAUUUUGAACCGCAUGGUUCGAAAUUGAAAGGCGGCUUCGGCUGUCACUUAUGGAUGGACCCGCGUCGCAUUAGCUAGUUGGUGAGGUAACGGCUCACCAAGGCAACGAUGCGUAGCCGACCUGAGAGGGUGAUCGGCGACACUGGGACUGGGACACGGCCCAGACGCCUACGGGAGGCAGCAGUAGGGAAUCUUCCGCAAUGGACGAAAGUCUGACGGAGCAACGCCGCGUGAGUGAUGAAGGCUUUCGGGUCGUAAAACUCUGUUGUUAGGGAAGAACAAGUGCUAGUUGAAUAAGCUGGCACCUUGACGGUACCUAACCAGAAAGCCACGGCUAACUACGUGCCAGCCGCCGCAGUAA
rnacentral:rRNA from 1 species